rnacentral:rRNA from 1 species
CACGUAGGGCGCAAGCGUUGUCCGGAAUUAUUGGGCGUAAAGAGCUCGUAGGCGGUCUGUUGCGUCUGCUGUGAAAACCCGGGGCUUAACCCCUGGCUUGCAGUGGAUACGGACAGACUAGAGGUAGGUAGGGGAGAAUGGGAUUCCCGGUGUAGCGGUGAAAUGCGCAGAUAUCGGGAGGAACACCGGUGGCGAAGGCGGUUCUCUGGGCCAGUACUGACGCUGAGGCGCGAAAGCGUGGGGAGCGAACAGG